UCGACGACGGACUCGCCGGAGCAAAGGACGAGAAAGGUAAAAGGUUGAACCCUCUAUUUAUUCUGAUUUUACUUGGUUGAUGAUGGUAGUUUUAUUUGAUUAGGUCGCUUGGAAUAAAAUCUGUACUAUUUUGUUGUUACGAUGAGUUUAGUAAUCUGAACCUUUUUAAAAAAAAAAAUUACCCAUUUGUUUGAAAUGUUAUUAUUAUGGGUCAUCCUUGAUAAAAUUCCAGCAACUUGUUAAGUUUUGAAUCUUAUUUUAGGGUUUGCCAGCACGUUUAUCAACAUGAAACGUUCCCUUUAUUGGUCGUAAUGAAUAUUCGAGGAUGAUUUUUAAGAGAGUAUAGGUGCCACAAAAUGUAUGUAUGAAUAUUGCAUGAAUACUUUUGAAUAGGAAUGUUUGGAUGAUUACCUUUGAAUCGAAG
rnacentral:lncRNA from 1 species